ACGGGUGAGUAGCGCGUAUGCAACCUACCUAUCAGAGGGGAAUAACCCGGCGAAAGUCGGACUAAUACCGCAUAAAACAGGGGCACCGCAUGGUGAUAUUUGCUAAAGAAAUUCGCUGAUAGAUGGGCAUGCGUUCCAUUAGGUAGUUGGUGAGGUAACGGCUCACCAAGCCGACGAUGGAUAGGGAACUGAGAGGUUGGUCCCCCACACUGGUACUGAGACACGGACCAGACUCCUACGGGAGGCAGCAGUGAGGAAUAUUGGUCAAUGGGCGGGAGCCUGAACCAGCCAAGUCGCGUGGAAAAGGAAGAAGGAUCUAUGGUUACGUAAACUUUCUUUUGCGAGGGGAAUAAAGUGCAGGACGUGUCCUGUUUUGUAUGUACCCUGAGAAUAAGGAUCGGCUAACUCCGUGCCAGCAGCCGC
rnacentral:rRNA from 1 species